rnacentral:lncRNA from 1 species
GGUGCCCCUGUGCGAAGCUGGCGGUCAGCCGUGGGAUCAGUACUCCCGGAAGACACGACUCCCGGAAGACACGGCUGCCGGAGCUGCCUGGAUCCCAUCAGGGAAGCUUCCAGGAGUGCUGUGGCCAACAGUAGUAGUGGCUCCAAUGACAGCAGCAGUGAACUUCAGCACAACUCACUGGCCAGUAUUCUGGAGGAUGUGACACUGAUGUCAGCCAGAUUUUCAGUGGAGACAAUGGCACAAGAUGCCAACAGAAGCUUCUCCCAGGUUCUCUUCAGAUAUUUGAGCAUAUUUCCAGACCUCUUCAGGGAGAGGGCGUUUGACUCUGCUGAUGGGAACUUUGGCAGUUCUGUUUCUGAAGGGAACUCAUGAGAGAACUGCCAAGAAAGGUUGGGAUAUUUGGGUUCUGAUGAAGUUUACAAAGCUAAUUUUUAAAGUUAGUUCCUUAAAAUAAAUUUUUUACAUCGUUACA